GAUGAACGCGGGCGGCGUGCUUAACACAUGCAAGUCGAACGAACGACUAUUAACAGAACCUUUCGUGGCGAAGAAUAUAGAAGUUAGUGGCGGACGGGUGCGUAACGCGUGGGUAAUCUGCCUUUGUCAAAGGAAUAACUAUUCGAAAGAAUAGCUAAAACCGUAUAACAUAUUAAUAGGGCAUCCUAAUAAUAUCAAAACGAUAGUGGACAAAGAUGAGCCCGCGUCUGAUUAGCUAGUUGGUGAGAUAAAAGCCCACCAAGGCAACGAUCAGUAGCCGACCUGAGAGGGUGAACGGCCACAUUGGAACUGAGACACGGUCCAAACUCCUACGGGAGGCAGCAGUGGGGAAUAUUGCACAAUGGGGGGAACCCUGAUGCAGCAACGCCGCGUGAGUGAAGAAGGCAUUCGUGUCGUAAAACUCUGUAGUAGGGGAAGAAAGAAAUGACAGUACCCUAAAAGAAAGCCCCGGCUAACUACGUGCCAGCAGCCGCGGUAAUACGUAGGGGGCAAGCGUUAUCCGGAAUAACUGGGCGUAAAGGGUGCGCAGGUGGUUCAACAAGUUAGUGGUGAAAGGCAUAGGCUCAACCAAUGUAAGCCAUUAAAACUGUUUAACUUGAGUGCAGGAGAGGAAAGUGGAAUUCCUAGUGUAGCGGUGAAAUGCGUAGAUAUUAGGAGGAAUACCAGUGGCGAAGGCGACUUUCUGGACUGCAACUGACACUGAGGCACGAAAGCGUGGGGAGCAAACAGG
rnacentral:rRNA from 1 species